AUGACGUACCUAUAAUAACUUUUUUUUUCACAUAUUAUAAUUAAAAAUAUUUAUACAUUAUUUUGUUUGGUGUGAGUGUGAAAAUUGUUUCAAACUACGAAAAACUUCUCCUUGAAUAUGAUGAAAUAUAUUUUCGGCAAAAUAAUUAAAACAAACAAAAUGCGUACGAACAGAAAAAUUACUAUUGCAGCAGUAUUUUUGAAAUAAAACCAACAAAGCUAAGCCAGAAGCCAUGAAUAUGACAGAAAAAGAAGCCAAAACAAAUACUAGCUAAGAUAUUUUGUAAGACGCCAUAGUGCAUUGCUUCACAAAGCACGAAACAGAUUAAUUACAAUUACUUGUAAGUCAGUUUUUACCAAUG